GCAAGUGGACCUUAGGAGAGACAUCCUCAGGUUGUUAAGGGGUCCAGAGAGUCAGCUCUGCUGGCUUGAAACCGCACACUGCUGGACUCUCGAGGGAUUCCCUUUUCAUAACAACUGUGAGGACAGUUUCCCUGGCAUUCAGGUCGUUGCGCCAAACCUACAGCUGUUGCCAAACGAACAUGUCCAGGAGUCUUCACCCGUCCUUCUGACGCUCGAUGCUGGUGAGCUGAUCAGCGCCUGCCGAAAUAUCCAGUUCCUCUCUGCACGCACCUUUACCUUCCUGUCUGGGG